rnacentral:lncRNA from 1 species
UUUAUGGAAGGUUUAGAAUGACGUUGGGUUAAGCAUUAUCUCUUCUCUACAAUCAUAGACAUUUCAAAAUUUUAAUAAUAUGUACUAUGUUAUUUCUUUUGUUACUAUUUUAUUUUGAUAAUGCUUCAUAUUGUGUACUAUGUGCAUAUUUUGAUAUUUGGGUUAUGGUUUAUAUAUUUUUUUAGGAUUUAGUGAUUAUUGUUUUGGAUUUAGUUUAUAGAACAUUUAGGUUGGCGUUGGGUUAAACAUUACCUCAUUCUCUGCAAUCAUAGACAUUUCAAAAUUUGAACAAUAUGUACUAUGCUAUUCGUUUGUUGCUAUUCUAUUUUGAUAAUGUUUCAUAUUAUGUACUAUUUACAUAUU